AGCGCAUCGAGGGAGCCCGCUCAAGCUGAAGCGCUGCACGAGCUGUGUCUUCCUUCUCUCCGCCGCCAAUGCGGGCAGGAUGCGAGCAAAAGACCCGGCAAAGAGGGCGCCGAGGGGGCGCAGCCGGGGCGCUGGGCGGACCCAGAGGGGACAUGGAGAGGAACGCGGAAGGUGCCCUCUGCGGUGGGCAUUACUAUUUCCACCAUCCUCAUGAUGGAUCUGGAAUCCACGGGGGUCCCCUGCCCAGGAUCGUGCAGCCUGUGGAAGGCAGCAGGCGCCGGGAUGCCGAAUGGAUUGAAUGAGCUUCUCGGGGAUUCCCUGAGCUUGGUGAACGGAGAGCCCACCCUGACGGUCAGGCCUAACCCCACCGCCAAUAACAGAGCAGCCCUAGGUGGAAGUGGGCUGCCUGUGCCUGGCACUGGGAGCGGCAGAGGCGGCUGCCGCUGUGGAAGUAGCGCCCGCAGUGCCAAGCUCCUGUGCCUGGGAGGACGCGGGCACUGGGCGACCUGCAGUCGGGGCUGCCCCCAGGCAGGGCUCCCGGGCUUUCUCACAGCGCGGCUCGCGGGAAACGACGCUGCCCUAUGGCACAGUGAAGUAAGGCGAUGGCUGCUCUCAGCCAGAGGCGGGGCUGGGGGAGGGGGCCAGAGAUGCCCCGGGAGCCCCUGGACCCUCUGGAGGGUCGGGUGGGGGAGGGGAGAUCUCUGUCUUGACCACGCACUUGUAACCCAUUCUUGGCACACCGGGAUACCUUGCCUGCAGGUAGUGCUCUGCUCUCGGGGAGAGGGCACAACCUCUAAUCCUCUGACCGAGGCUCUCUGCCUCUCACAAGAAGCCCCCAACACACUGGUUUUCCUCACAGCCUGCCCCAACUGCUCAUCGGAACCUGCAGCCCCCUUCCCUGCCCCAAAUGUCCCUCUGCGGAUCCCAUUACCCUACUUUCUGUCGAGCCCAACUGCCCUAUCCUUUAUACAGGCUGUCGGGGGCAAUGGUGGUGAGCAUGGGCUAUGGAGUCAGAUUGCCUGGGUUCAAAUCAUGGCUCUGCCAUCUUCUGACUGUGUGACCUUGGGCCAGUUUCUUUAUUUCUGUGCCUCAGUUUUCUCAUCUGUAAAAUUGACGGGAUGGUGGCAUCUGUCUCAUAGAGUGGCUGUGAGGGUAACGGGCACACUGCCACAGGCACGAUGAACGUCAGCUCUUGUUGCCAACCUCCCCCCACAACACACACAGCUUAGUAACUCUACCCUCACCCAACACAUAACACCUAGCUUGUCCCUCAUAAUGAGCUCUCAGCCUAAAUCAGUGCCCUCAGCAAACCUGUGGCGCAGGGCACGUGUUAGGGUAGACAAGAUCCUGGGGAAGACUCACUGACUCCACCGAAGCACUGGCUGCAGCUGGGAUUGGCCCAGACAUUUAAGAGCCGAGGACUAAGCAAUGCCUGCAUUGCCUGCUAUGUGCAUAUGUCGAGCAGGACGGCAGUGUCAGGCCACUGGCCAGUGGGGACCAGCCUCUGAGCUGGUCAUCCGAACACCCUAGGAAAGAGUCCACCCCGUCCUACAUGUUCUAUCACUGCUUGGCCUAGCUAAGCCAAGCACCUGGGCCCAAGCCCCACCGUGGAGAUGGUGGCUGGAGCAGUGUCCAAGGUCACAGAUGGAGGAAUGCGACCUCCAGCCCAAUCUCGACUCUGCUCUUUGCCAGUUCAGUCUUGCCCAAGUCACUUGGGUUCUCCAAGCCUAUGAUCUCCUCUUUAAAAUGGAAGGGAGAGCUGGGCAUGGCGGUUCAUGCCUGUAAUCCCAGUACUUUGGGAGGCUGAGACGGGAGGAUUACAUGAGGCCAGGAAUUCAAGACCAGCCUGAGUAACAUGAUGAGACCCCUAUCUCUACAAAAAAAAACAAAAAACAAAAAACAAAAACACUUUCUUUUUUUUGUUUGUUUGUUUUUGUUUUUGUUUUUAAUUAGCAGGGCAUGAUGGUGUGUUUCUGUAGUCCCAGCUACUCGGGAGGCUGAGGCGGGAGGAUCAGUUGAGCCCAGGAGUUCAAGACCAGCCUGGACAACACAGCAGACCCCAUCUUUAUAAAAUAAAUUCAGUAAAAUGG
rnacentral:antisense_RNA from 1 species